rnacentral:tRNA from 1 species
GGGGGUGUGGCUCAGUGGUAGAGCGCUCACCUAGCACAUGAAGGACCUGGGUUCGAUCCUCAGCACCACAU